AGACGCGAUUCUUCCCACGUGACAGAAAAAGGAAAAGCCAACAGAGAAGGCGGAGACGGCAAGCCCGAGAAGCCCGACGUAAACGGGCCGUUACUGCGCUCGGGAAGCUGCGAGCAGUUUAAAACCUCGCUUUCCCCCGCGGAAAGGCUUCUUCCCACCGGGUCGCUAUCCUCACCCGCCACCAGCACGGCACGGCACGGGGACAAACGCCCGCCUCCCCCCCGGCCCUCCUCCCCCCGCUCCCGUCCCGCAGCCGCCAGCCCCGCGCCCGACGGGCCACCGAACUCCCCCGCGCAGCCAGCCCUUCCCUCCGCCACGAGCGGAGCCUCCCCAGCCGCUGUCGUCACUCCCCGCGAGCCCCGGCCCUGCCCUUCCCCGCCAGGCGCCGUGCAAGGAGAGCUUCACCUUCCCCGCCGCGGCCGGCGCCGGCAUCGCGGCUCUGCCCAACUGUCACCCUGCCCGCCCCGCCUCUUUCGCCCGGGAGCGCGGAGCGCCGAGCCCCGGCCCGCCAUCCGCCCUCGGCCGCCGCGGAGCACGGAGCGCCGGGCUGCCCCAACCACCCCCCGCCCGCCCCUCCCCCGCGAGGCUCUGAACCCCAGCCUCCUCCUCGCGCAGCUCCCCUCGGCCGCGGCCCCAAACGGCGGCUCCGCCCUCACCUGGAGCCCCCGUAGCGCCGCGAGCCGCCGGCCGCGAUGUCCGCCGGCAGCGAAGGAGAUUGCGCGGAGCGCCGACGAGAGCGAGCAACCGCCCUGCGCUCCGGCCGCGCUGCUCCGGCCGCACCAACUGCCGCCCGCCGCCCCUCCGAUUGGCCCACGCCCAGCCGCCUUCCGAUUGGGCGAGGGCGGAGAGCAGGUUCCCGCCUCGCCGUCGCCCAUUGGCUCUCCGCAGCUGCCAAUUAAUGCCUCUUCCUUGUCGCUGGCUGGAAAAGGCGGCGGAGGCAGCGGGGUGGGGGAGCAUUGGGGCGCGCACCCCAGUGGACGCCCACGGCCGUUAGCGCCCCGCGCCGCAGGGAUGUCGCGGCAGCGGUCGGAGAGCGGCUGGGAGGUUUUAACGCCCGGGAGCGAUGAAGGCUUCGCUUUCCCUCCCUCUCCCAGGGCGGGCUCCCUGAGGAACGCGGUGCCCGCUGGCACCGCCGUGCGGCACAGGCGGUGGCUUUGCUGCCCGGCUCCCGACCUGCUCGGGGGGACCGCGGAGCGCCAGCCCGAGUUGGCCAAGGGCAGGGCAGCCUCUGCCGUAGCGCUGAUGUGGCCGAGGAACGCAGGGCCGCGCCGCACCUGA
rnacentral:lncRNA from 1 species